UACGGAGGGUGCGAGCGUUGUCCGGAAUCACUGGGCGUAAAGGGCGCGUAGGCGGCUUGGGAAGUCUGUGGUGAAAGCUCGUGGCUCAACUGCGAGUCGGCCAUAGAUACUCCUAAGCUCGAGUCGACUAGAGGCAGAUGGAAUUCCGGGUGUAGCGGUGGAAUGCGUAGAGAUCCGGAAGAACACCGGUGGCGAAGGCGGUCUGCUGGGGUCGAACUGACGCUGAGGCGCGACACGUGGGGAGGCAAACAGG
rnacentral:rRNA from 1 species